GGGGUAGCGCCAGAUCUUGGGCUCUGUCCCCGGUGCCCUGGGCUCCCGGGCCUGCCUAUUGGAAUCGUGCUCCCGGCCGCGCAGCUCCCU
rnacentral:pre_miRNA from 1 species